GACGAACGCUGGCGGCGUGCUUAACACAUGCAAGUCGAGCGGUAAGGCCCUUUCGGGGGUACACGAGCGGCGAACGGGUGAGUAACACGUGGGUGACCUGCCCUCAGCUCUGGGAUAAGCCUGGGAAACUGGGUCUAAUACUGGAUAUGACUCCACGGUGCAUGUCGUGGGGUGGAAAGCCUUGUGCGGCUGAGGAUGGGCCCGCGGCCUAUCAGCUUGUUGGUGGGGUGANGGCCUACCAAGGCGACGACGGGUAGCCGGCCUGAGAGGGCGACCGGCCACACUGGGACUGAGACACGGCCCAGACUCCUACGGGAAGCAGCAGUGGGGAAUCUUGCGCAAUGGGCGAAAGCCUGACGCAGCGACGCCGCGUGAGGGAUGACGGCCU
rnacentral:rRNA from 1 species